GGGAGGUCCAGCCUGCCCAAUGAUACAUUGAAUGGCCGCGGUACUCUUACCGUGCGAAGGUAGCAUAAUCACUUGUUCAUUAAAUAUGGACUAGUAUGAACGGCAUCACGAGGGUCAUACUGUCUCCCUACUCCAAUCAAUGAAACUAUUUUUCCCGUGAAGAAACGGGAAUUAAACUAUAAGACGAGAAGACCCCAUGGAGCUUUAAACCCAGAACAUCUACCACCCACCCCAUUUUUACCUAACUAUAGUAUUCAUGUUUUCUGGUUUUUGGUUGGGGCGACCACGGAGCAAAAAAAAUCCUCCACGAUGAACAAGCUUUACUUUUACCCAUGAAGCACACUUCUAAGGACCCUUAAUAUGACAUUUCUUGACCCAAGCCUACUUGAUCAACGAACCUAGUUACCCUGGGGAUAACAGCGCAAUCCAUUUCAAGAGCCCAUAUCGACAAAUGGGUUUACGACCUCGAUGUUGGAUCAGGGUAUCCCAGUGGUGCACCCGCUACUAAAGGUUUGUUUGUUCAACAAUUAAUAACCCU
rnacentral:rRNA from 1 species